rnacentral:rRNA from 1 species
GACGAACGCUGGCGGCGUGCUUAACACAUGCAAGUCGAACGAAAAUACCAAGCUUGCUUGGUUGAUUAGUGGCGAACCGGUGAGUAACACGUGAGUAACCUGCCCCUUACUUUCCUGGAUAACUGCUCGAAAGGGUAGCUAAUACGGGAUAUUCUGACCAGCCUGCAUGGGUUGGUUUGGAAAGGUUGUUUUUCUGGUAAGGGAUGGGCUCGCGGCCUAUCAGCUUGUUGGUGGGGUGAUGGCCUACCAAGGCUUUGACGGGUAGCCGGCCUGAGAGGGUGGACGGUCACACUGGGACUGAGAUACGGCCCAGACUCCUACGGGAGGCAGCAGUGGGGAAUAUUGCACAAUGGGCGCAAGCCUGAUGCAGCGACGCCGCGUGAGGGAUGAAGGCCUUCGGGUUGUAAACCUCUUUCGUCAGGGAACAAGGCACUGCUUUUUUGGUGGUGUUGAGGGUACCUGGAUAAGAAGCGCCGGCUAACUACGUG